rnacentral:rRNA from 1 species
AUACGUAGGGGGCGAGCGUUGUCCGGAAUGAUUGGGCGUAAAGGGCGCGUAGGCGGCCCGGUAAGUCUGGAGUGAAAGUCCUGUUUUUAAGAUGGGAAUUGCUUUGGAUACUGUCGGGCUUGAGUGCAGGAGAGGUAAGUGGAAUUCCCAGUGUAGCGGUGAAAUGCGUAGAGAUUGGGAGGAACACCAGUGGCGAAGGCGGCUUGCUGGACGGUAACUGACGCUGAGGCGCGAAAGUGUGGGGAGCAAACAGGAUUAGAUACCCUGGUAGUCCACACUCUAAACGAUGAAUGCUAGGUGUAGGGGGUAUCGACCCCUUCUGUGCCGCAGUCAACACAAUAAGCAUUCCGCCUGGGGAGUACGGCCGCAAGGUUGAAACUCAAAUGAAUUGCCGGGG